rnacentral:rRNA from 1 species
GAUGAACGCUGGCGGCGUGCCUAAUACAUGCAAGUCGAGCGAACGGACGAGAAGCUUGCUUCUCUGAUGUUAGCGGCGGACGGGUGAGUAACACGUGGAUAACCUACCUAUAAGACUGGGAUAACUUCGGGAAACCGGAGCUAAUACCGGAUGAUAUUUUGAACCACAUGGUUCAAAAGUGAAAGACGGUCUUGCUGUCACUUAUAGAUGGAUCCGCGCUGCAUUAGCUAGUUGGUAAUGUAACGGCUUACCAAGGCAACGAUGCAUAGCCGACCUGAGAGGGUGAUCGGCCACACUGGAACUGAGACACGGUCCAGACUCCUACGGGAGGCAGCAGUAGGGAAUCUUCCGCAAAGGGCGAAAGCCUGACGGAGCAACGCCGCGUGAGUGAUGAAGGUCUUCGGAUCGUAAAACUCUGUUAUUAGGGAAGAACAUAUGUGUAAGUAACUGUGCACAUCUUGACGGUACCUAAUCAGAAAGCCACGGCUAACUACGUG